AAAGUCGUAACAAGGUCUCCGUUGGUGAGUACAGUCUUUAUAUCUCUCUGUGGAAUUCGAUGCUAACAUACAGUGUCUAGGUGAACCAGCGGAGGGAUCAUUACCGAGUCUUCCACACUCAGACCCAACCGUGAACCCGAAACCGUUGCUUCGGCGGGCAGCCCCGACGGGCGGCCCGCCGGAGGUCUACGAUAUUAGGCUCUACUGCGGCGUGCCGCCGCACCUUAUCCUCUGAAUUACGCUUCCAAAACUAGUUAAAACUUUCAACAACGGAUCUCUUGGUUCUG
rnacentral:misc_RNA from 1 species